AUACGAUAACAAUAUAACGGUUUGACCAUUAAUAACCCUCAAAAGAACAUCAACCGACUUAAUUUAAAUAAUGAAAAUUUCUCUGAAUUACGUCUUGUUAUUCGCUAUAAUUAUUGUUUUUCUUAUGGAAAAUGUAGAAGGCGUCCCCAAAUACCUCCCGAGGAAUUUCACGAAAAUGGGAUACAACUUCGCCCAUACCUGUCCAAAGGGUGAAAUACCCUUGAAGGGGUUGUGCAGGAAAGUUUUUGAUUUUUAUGAUAAACAAGUCGAAGGGUAGAAGCGAGACUCUCUUCAAGUAAGGAGGAUAAGUAGUACAUAGCAUGUUAGAUCCUAGGAAUAAGAUAUAAAUUAAAAUGUUUAAAAAGUAUAUAA